AUUCGUUCUUGGCCUUCUGGCUAAGAUCAAAUGUUGUAUCUGUUCUUCUCAGUUUAAUAUCUGAUCCGUCCUCUAUCUGAGGACAAUAUAUUAAAUGGAUUUUGGGAGCUGGGAGACGGAAUAGGAGCUUGCUCCGUCCCCUCCAUGCAUCGGCCUGGUAUUGCAGUACCUCCAGGAACGGUGCACCCCCU
rnacentral:snRNA from 1 species